AGCAAACAACUCUUGAUUUUGACUCAGGUCAUGAUUCCAGGGUCAUGGGAUAGAGCCUCAGUCAGGCUCUGCACUAAGCAUGAAGCCUGCUUAAAAUUCAUUCUCUCUCUCUCUCUCUCUCUCUCUCUCUCUUUCCCUCUUCCCCUUACCCCCUUGUGAACACGUACUCUCUUUCUCUAACAAUAAAAGUUAUAUACAAACUAACAAUCUAAUCUUAGUUUCCCCUGAAUUUGCUCUUCUUCAUUUGCAGUUCACUGAAUUUAUGGUUCUAAACUGAUCCAGUGUGUGCAGACAAUUCAACUUAUGGGAGCUCCAGCUUUCCCUCUCUGAGUUGUGUCUGGGCCCCUCCUUUGUGUCCCUGAAAGGAAGAGGCUGCCAGGACUCAGUGGCAUCUGUGUGCUUGAAGGAAUUUGUCUGAGAUGACCUUAAGGCAACCUACUUUGAAGAGAAUAUUGAGCGUGUAAAAGGCAACAAACAUAUUACAACUUUUCGGUAUUUGAACCCAGCUCUGCCUCUUUCCAUUUGUGAGACCUCAUUAGCUUCAGUGCACUUACCUGUUAAAUGAGAAUAAUGAUAUCAUCUUGCAAGGCUCCAUCAUAACAUGGAUUUCCAAGACCACGUCAGCAUAGAUGCCUGUUUACAAAGGUAUUCAAACAAUGCAAGAGCUAUGGACUCUCAGAGUAUACCACUGAAGGGGAGACUGCUUAAUAAGAAGACGAAGAGGAUGGGAAAAUGGUGCCUCUAAGAUUCCCGUUAGUAAUGCAUCUGUCGGUAACCCUUCCCCACAACAUCCCUGAUCCGCCAGUAGCUGUUCCUCCUUAUGGCCCUUCCCGGAUACUUCACUUCUUAUACAUUGGGAAAUGAUUUCAAAGUGAGAGCUAUAUAAGUAAACAUUUCCCCCACUUCCUGUCAUGCUCUUAACUAGAUGCAGCAUAGAGAUUAGAACAUGAGAACAAACUGAGGGCUGAUGGGGGGUGGGAGGGGGGGAGGGUGGGUGAUGGGUAUUGAGGAGGGCACCUGUUGGGAUGAGCACUGGGUGUUGUAUGGAAACCAAUUUGACAAUAAAUUUCAUAUAUUUAAAAAAAUAAAUAAAAUA
rnacentral:lncRNA from 1 species